UGCCAGCCGCCGCGGUAAUACGCAGGGGGCAAGCGUUGCUCGGAAUUACUGGGCGUAAAGGGUCCGUAGGCGGUGGGGCAUGUCGGUUGUGAAAUCUCCCGGCUUAACUAGGAGGGUGCGACCGAAACUGCUCCGCUGGAGGGCCGGAGAGGCGAGUGGAAUUGCUGGUGUAGCGGUGAAAUGCGUAGAGAUCAGCAGGAACACCGGAGGCGAAGGCGGCUCGCUGGACGGCACCUGACGCUGAGGGACGAAAGCUAGGGGAGCAAACAGGAUUAGAUA
rnacentral:rRNA from 1 species